GAUGAACGCUCGCGGCAGGCCUAAUACAUGCAAGCCGAACGGCAAGUUUGAUAGCAUUAUUGGACCUAGAGUGGCGCAAGGGUGCGUAACACGUAUGCAACCUGCCCGCGACAGGCGGAUAGCUCCCCGAACGGGGAAUUAACCCUCCAUAACACCAUGCGCAGGCUUCUGAUUAUGGUUAAACCGCACGGGGUCGCGUAUGGGCAUGCGGUUGAUUAGCUCGUUGGCGGGGUAAAGGCCCACCAAGGCGGUGAUCAAUAGGGGUUCUGAGAGGAAGGUCCCCAACACUGGAACGGGGAUACGGGCCGGACUCCUACGGGAGGCAGCAGGAGGGAAAAUGGGAAAAGGGUUGCAAGACUGAUCCAGCCAGGCCGCGUGCAGGAAGAAGGCCUUCUGGGGCGGAAACUGCUUUUGCCGGGGGAUAAAAGACCCGGGCGCGGGGAAUUGAAGGUAACAGGGGAAUAAGCCACGGCUAACUACGUG
rnacentral:rRNA from 1 species